UAAAUGCAGAGAUUUGUCCAAGGUCACUUAGUCUCUUAGUGACAAAGACAGAAAUGGAAGUCAAGACUGGUGUUUUAAUUAUGUGUACUCAUGAACUAGCUCUCAAAACAAACCAAACUUGAUUUGUAGCAUUUGCUGAUUUCUGCAGAAUAAAUAUUCCUCCAAGGGCCAGUCUUGAGCUACUCACAUUUAACAACCAGCUCACAAAAUUCUUUGAGCUUUUGCAAUCUGUUCUUGUGGCCUAGGACAAGUAAGCCAUGGUGCCCAGUGGGAAAACUUAAUAUAUGGAUCUCUUCCCAAUUCUGUGUCAGUCAUUGUGGGAAUAUUUGUAUGAUAGAAUUCAGAAAACACCCCCUACACACACACACACACACACACACACACACACACACACACACACACACACACACAGAAGAACCAUCAUUAGACAUUUACCAGUGUAGCACUUGAGUACAUUUUCCUCUGAAAAAAUUUUCUGAAUCCAUUUCAGAAAUUUCUGAGAAAACAAAAAGUAUUGAGUAUGCUGCUUGUCUUACACUGUUACUUCGCAACUCCAGGCUUACUUCCCACAUUUGCAGAGUGGAUAAAUGCCAUACUUCAAUAAAUUGAACAUGGUUUUAAUGUUAAGAUUUAUCAGUGCUUUGAUGUUUCAAAACUCUUGAUUUUAGAACAAUUCUAGAUUUAUAGAAAAAUUAUGAGUGCAAAAACUUGACAUAAGUUACACCCAACUUAUUCUGUUAUAAAUAUCUGUGAUAGGUUAAACAACUGGAC